UACAGAGGCCUCGAGCGUUAGGCGGAAUCACUGGGCUUAAAGCGUGUGUAGGCGGAUUGCUAAGUACCUUGUGAAAUCCCACGGCUUAACCGUGGAACGGCUUGGUAUACUGGCAGUCUUGAGCCACUCGAGGGGCAACCGGAACAAACGGUGGAGCGGAUGAAAUGCGUAGAUAUCGGGAGGAACACCGGUGGCGAAGGCGGCAUCCUGGACCGGCAUUGACGCUGAGGCGCGAAAGCCAGGGGAGCAAACGGG
rnacentral:rRNA from 1 species